rnacentral:rRNA from 1 species
GAUCAUGGCUCAGGACGAACGCUGGCGGCGUGCCUAACACAUGCAAGUCGAGCGGAGAACAGGGAAGUGCUUGCACGGAACUGUUUUUAGCGGCGGACGGGUGAGUAACGCGUGAACAAGCUGUCCUUCACAGGGGGAGUAACACUUGGAAACAGGUGCUAAUACCGCAUAAGACCACAGGGGUGCAUGCUCCAGGGGUCAAAGGAGCAAUCCGGUGAAGGGUGCGUUCGCGUCCCAUUAGAUAG